AUCGUUCAUCCUAACUAAUAAGGACGGAAGUAAGCUUCAUGCUGAAGGAACGCGCU
ncrna:unclassified sequences Glutamine riboswitch